GGGUUGUGAGGUUAAGCGACUAAGCGUACACGGUGGAUGCCCAGGCAGUCAGAGGCGAUGAAGGACGUGCUAAUCUGCGUAAAGCGACGGUAAGGUGAUAUGAACCGCUACAGCCGUCGAUGUCCGAAUGGGGAAACCCGGUGCACUCUGUGCAUCAUUGCAGCAUGAAUACAUAGUGCUGCAAGGCGAACCGGGGGAACUGAAACAUCUAAGUACCCCGAGGAAAAGAAAUCAACCGAGAUUCCCCCAGUAGCGGCGAGCGAACGGGGAGCAGCCCAGAGCCUGAAUCAGUUUGUGUGUUAGUGGAAGCGUCUGGAAAGUCGCAGGGUACAGGGUGAUACUCCCGUACACAAAAACACACAUGCUGUGAGCUCGAUGAGUAAGGCGGGACACGUGGUAUCCUGUCUGAAUAUGGGGGGACCAUCCUCCAAGGCUAAAUACUCCUGACUGACCGAUAGUGAACCAGUACCGUGAGGGAAAGGCGAAAAGAACCCCGGCGAGGGGAGUGAAACAGAACCUGAAACCGUGUACGUACAAGCAGUGGGAGCCUUCUUUAUGGGGGUGACUGCGUACCUUUUGUAUAAUGGGUCAGCGACUUAUAUUCUGUAGCAAGGUUAACCGUAUAGGGGAGCCGCAGGGAAACCGAGUCUUAACUGGGCGUUAAGUUGCAGGGUAUAGACCCGAAACCCGGUGAUCUAGCCAUGGGCAGGUUGAAGGUUGGGUAACACUAACUGGAGGACCGAACCGACUAAUGUUGAAAAAUUAGCGGAUGACCUGUGGCUGGGGGUGAAAGGCCAAUCAAACCGGGAGAUAGCUGGUUCUCCCCGAAAGCUAUUUAGGUAGCGCCUCGUGAACUCAUCUUCGGGGGUAGAGCACUGUUUCGGCUAGGGGGCCAUCCCGGCUUACCAACCCGAUGCAAACUGCGAAUACCGAAGAAUGUUAUCACGGGAGACACACGGCGGGUGCUAACGUCCGUCGUGAAGAGGGAAACAACCCAGACCGCCAGCUAAGGUCCCAAAGUCAUGGUUAAGUGGGAAACGAUGUGGGAAGGCACAGACAGCCAGGAUGUUGGCUUAGAAGCAGCCAUCAUUUAAAGAAAGCGUAAUAGCUCACUGGUCGAGUCGGCCUGCGCGGAAGAUGUAACGGGGCUAAACCAUGCACCGAAGCUGCGGCAG
rnacentral:rRNA from 1 species